UUUCUUCACAAAUUUGUUCAAGGAUAACCCCAGGGAUUCCUUCAGAUAUUCCUUUGAGAAUUUCUCCAGGAACUGCACUAGCAAUUCCGCUAGAAAUUCCUCCAGGAAUCUCUCAAGGGGUUCUUUCAGAAAUAGGAAAAUAACAGAAAUAGAAACAGAAAUCUCUCAGAAUUCUUCUGGAGAUUCCUCUAGAUAUUCAUCCAGUAAUUCUUUCAAGAAUUCCUCUAGAGAUUACUCCAGAAAUUUCCACAGGAAUACCACUAGGAACUCCUCCAUUUAUUCCUCCGGGAUGUUAUCUAGGAAUUUCCCCAGGAAAUUUCUUCAGGAAUACCUCCAGGAAAUACCCCAGGAAUUUCUUCCGGAAUACUCCUGGCAUCCUUCAGGAAUUAUGCCAGCAAUUCGUCCAGGAAUUUCUCCUGGAAAUCCUCUUGGGAUUUCUUCAGAGAUUCUUUCAGGAAAUUCUCCAGGAAUACUUUGAGGAAAUUUUCAGGGAUUCCUCCAGACAUUUCUCCAGAGAUUCUUCCAGGAAUUACUUCAUGGAUUUCUCCACGAAUUUUUCGAGGGAUAUUCCCAGAGAUUUCACCAGGGAAUCCUCCAGAAAUUCCUCCAAGGGUUCUUUGAGGAAAUCCUGGAAUUUCUCAAGGGAUUUUUUCAGAAACUUUUCCAGCAAUUCCUCUCACAAUUCCUCUUGAGAUUUCUUCAGGAAUUUCUCCCGGAAUUCUCCGAGGGGCUCCAAGAAUUCACCCAAAAAAUUGCUCAAGGAAAUUCUUAAAAGGAAGUUUUUAAUAAAAAUAAAUUUUUCUCAGGAAUCCAAAAAAAUAUGAAAUGGAAAAAGUUUCCCACAAAAUGUUCCAUCGUUGAGAAAGUUCAUAAAAAAAAGCUAAGCCCAAACUCGCAAAAAGUUUUCAAAAAAAUAAUUUUGAGAAGGUAAUUUCAUAAGCUUUGAUCGCUGAAAAUUUUGGAAUGCACUUAUUUUUCGUUCCUGAGUUAUGGCCAAUUAUGUGAAGAAUGACCAUAUAAUAUAUGCGAAUCUCGAAUAGAGAUCCGUUCCUCAAGUGACCCAUUUUGCCCCCUCUUUCCAAGAGCAGUCACGGUAAAGAAAGGGUUAGCGUCGUUGUCGUGAACAUACAUUAUUAUCAGAAUUCAAUUGACGUCCAUCUGUAUUGUAACUCAAGGCAUUGUUGCUGCAUUUAUCAUCUUGAAACUAGUGCGGUAACACAUCGAGUCAGUCGGUCACAUAGACACUGCAUUGUGAGGCGAACCACAGUCUUCAGUUAGUGAUUGUUCUGAUCUGAAAACAAUCCGACUGUGAAAGGUUUAAAACUUUGUUUGGUAUUCAAGUACGAAAGUCAGUGUUAGGAAUUUAAGGGAAAACAUGAGCAUUCAUAUUCUGCCACCUGAGAUACUGGACACAAUUUUUGAAUAUUUCCCGUUUAGCCAGCGUCUUCUGCUUUCCGGCAUUUGUUUGUCAUGGCACAAACUGAUAUUCAAACCACAGUUCUGCAAAAGAUUAGUCCUACAUUUAAACUCAGCAAAGGAUCUUGUUGAGAAGCCUUACGCUAAGGAGAUGUUUGUACAUCCUCGUAAUGUAGUGAUAAACUGUGCUAAUUUCACCAGCCAUGAGUUGAGGUCAUUGAGGGAUUGCAUGAAAGGUGCUACUGUGGAUUUUCUCAAAAUUUGUACAGCAAAUAGUAUUGCAAAACGUGUCGUGGAUAUGCUUUUAGGAGUCGUGCCGGAAUUGAAAAGUUUGUAUCUCAUACUGAAAGGAGACUCGGAGAAUUGCAGUGAAGUAGUCAUACAAAUCAGACAUCAAAAACUACAAUGUGUGGUUCUGAAUGGAAAUGGCAAAUAUGAUAUAGAUUGUACGACAUUGAAUGCUUUGCAGUCAGACCGGAUGCUUGAGAAAGUAAUCCAAAAAAUAAGUAGUCUUCAAGGACAACUAACACAUCUAAAAUUCGCCAGAACUUGCCAGGGUUCUCCCUACCGUGCUGCGUCAACAUUUCAUCUAAUUACCGCUGGGACCGUUUGUUGGAGUUUAGCUUGAUCAAUUUACCUCCAAUAGAUAAUCUUGAGAAAAUCAUUGAGCAAAUGCCUUGUUUGCAGAAAUUGACGUUACACGGAUCUCCUAGUCAUGAAACGUUUACUGGAAACGAAAUCGGAACAGAAACACCCUUGUCAGAGUUAAUUUUGGAAAAAUAUUGCAUUGAUCCGGUUUCGCUAAAUAAGCUCCUCACUCAUUCAUCCAUGACGAAGAUUUCUCUACGGCAAUGCACAUUUAGUUCGCUGUUAGAUCCUUUGAAGUCAAGUUCUAUUAAAAAUUUGAAUUUCCAACCCACUACGACUCCAAUACUGAUGCCCCGUUUCCCGAGUUUGGAAAUCCUAGAUCUACAAGGCGUGAACGAUAGGACAUUUUAUAGGGCUUUUUUGAAGAUAUGCGACUACUAUCCUAAGCUGGAACGUCUAACGCUUGGCAUGACAUACGGGAAAAAGCUGAAACCGCAUUCAAACAAUGGGAUUGUGAAAAAAUCAUUUUCGGCACUGAAAAAAUUAAAUAAACUGAAAGUCCUUCGUCUAGAGCGAGUGGAUCUGACCGGUAUCAACUGGAAUAGGUGUGUAGGCAGCAAGGUGGAACACAUUCAUCUGAAAUUUUGCAAUAUACAUGAAGCGGGGGCCAAGAGUUUGAUAGGAAGCUUCAAACACCUGCAAACAUUCUAUCUCGACUAUUGCACUCUCGAAGUACCGAAAGCUAAAUCGUUCUGUGAAGAUGGAUUGCGUAAGGUGAAACCACACUGCCAGAUUUCCUUUCACGAUGUUAGCAUUCAAAACAAAAAAAAGAGGCGCUGACAUCUGAGCUUCUCUUAUGCAACAUUUUUAUAAAUCAUUGAAUAAAUAUG